CUAACACAUGCAAGUCGAGCGGUAACAGGGGUAGCUUGCUACCCGCUGACAAGCGGCGGACGGGUGAGUAAUGCAUAGGAAUCUGCCCGGUAGUGGGGGAUAACCUGGGGAAACCCAGGCUAAUACCGCAUACGUCCUACGGGAGAAAGGGGGCUCCGGCUCCCGCUAUUGGAUGAGCCUAUGUCGGAUUAGCUAGUUGGUGAGGUAAUGGCUCACCAAGGCGACGAUCCGUAGCUGGUCUGAGAGGAUGAUCAGCCACAUCGGGACUGAGACACGGCCCGAACUCCUACGGGAGGCAGCAGUGGGGAAUAUUGGACAAUGGGCGAAAGCCUGAUCCAGCCAUGCCGCGUGUGUGAAGAAGGCCCUCGGGUUGUAAAGCACUUUCAGCGAGGAAGAACGCCUAGUGGUUAAUACCCACUAGGAAAGACAUCACUCGCAGAAGAAGCACCGGCUAACUCCGUGCCAGCAGCCGCGGUAAUACGGAGGGUGCAAGCGUUAAUCGGAAUUACUGGGCGUAAAGCGCGCGUAGGUGGCUUGAUAAGCCGGUUGUGAAAGCCCCGGGCUCAACCUGGGAACGGCAUCCGGAACUGUCAAGCUAGAGUGCAGGAGAGGAAGGUAGAAUUCCCGGUGUAGCGGUGAAAUGCGUAGAGAUCGGGAGGAAUACCAGUGGCGAAGGCGGCCUUCUGGACUGACACUGACACUGAGGUGCGAAAGCGUGGGUAGCAAACAGGAUUAGAUACCCUGGUAGUCCACGCCGUAAACGAUGUCGACCAGCCGUUGGGUGCCUAGCGCACUUUGUGGCGAAGUUAACGCGAUAAGUCGACCGCCUGGGGAGUACGGCCGCAAGGUUAAAACUCA
rnacentral:rRNA from 1 species